rnacentral:rRNA from 1 species
AUUGAACGCUGGCGGCAUGCUUUACACAUGCAAGUCGAACGGUAACAGGGAGCUUGCUCCGCUGACGAGUGGCGAACGGGUGAGUAAUGCGUCGGAACGUGCCGAGUAGUGGGGGAUAACGCAUCGAAAGGUGUGCUAAUACCGCAUACGUACUGAGGUAGAAAGUGGGGGACCUUCGGGCCUCACGCUAUUCGAGCGGCCGACGUCUGAUUAGCUAGUUGGUGAGGUAAAGGCUCACCAAGGCGACGAUCAGUAGCGGGUCUGAGAGGAUGAUCCGCCACACUGGGACUGAGACACGGCCCAGACUCCUACGGGAGGCAGCAGUGGGGAAUUUUGGACAAUGGGCGCAAGCCUGAUCCAUCCAUGCCGCGUGUCUGAAGAAGGCCUUCGGGUUGUAAAGGACUUUUGUCCGGGAGCAAAUGCCUGGUGUUAAUAGCAUCGGGAGCUGAGAGUACCGGAAGAAUAAGCACCGGCUAACUACGUGCCAGCAGCCGCCGUAAGAC